AUGUGUGUGUGUGUGUGUGUGUGUGUGUGUGUGUGUGUGUGUGUGUGUGUGUGUGUGUGUGUGUGUGUGUGUGGGGAGCACUUGGGGCCGUCUUCAAUGGGGGUCUGCUGGUGUGAGGCAGAAUCGUCUUCAAAUAAUAUAUUUUUAAGUUGUAGGGCGUAGGGUUCUAGGGCUGACAUGAACAUAUAUAUUUUUUGUAAGAUGAGACAGAAGAUUCUUUUAAGGCCUUUGAGCUUUCCAUAGAGCUGGUUUUAUUUAUAUCUCAUGUUUUUGUUUUUUGUUUUCUUUUUGUUCCUGUUUAUUUGUCAGCACUGUAGUGUAAAUAAGGUUUUUUUUUUUUCUAAGAAAACUUGUAGUGUGAUUUCUACUUAAAGAGCCUGGGAUUAAAGGCUGAGUAUUAUGGCAA